ACUGCUGACAAAACGUUAUCCGAAUUUGACCCAUUCGAAUUUAAUUUCGACGUGUUUCUUGCCGUUUCGUCACCUUUCCAACUUUUCUUGGGCCAAUCUUUUUGCCUUUUCCAUUGCUUAAAAAGUUUACCGAUUUGAUAGAUAUCUAAUGGUGAUGUGGUGGUACCAAAAAAAAAGAAUUGGAAUGGGUCAGUUAAAAUGUGUCUCCUUCUGGAACAGAGGCGGAGAAGUGUGGGAAGAGCUUCGUCUCGUCCCCGUGCGUCAGUGUUUCUUUGGUGGUUUGCAGUUACGGCUUAUCUCGGUGGUGCAUCUACUAGCUCUUCUCUGAAGCCGUCUUCGGUUUUUGUGGUCGGGUUCAUGGCGCAGCAGUGGUUUCGUUCACUAGUUCUUCUCUUGCGAGGUCGUGACCGGUUCAUGUUUGUAGGUGGCAUUGAUUGGUUCGCUUUGUCCGCGUGUAAGAGUUGGUGCUCCUCUUUGACUUAUCCCCUGCCGUUUUCAAGGGUUUCUCUUUGUGCCUAGUUUCGCUCGAGCUCAUUUCCCUGAUGGAGGUGGCAUGAUGGUGUUAGUUGCUGUGCUUAUUUUUCGGAUUGUCCAUGCUUUCUGUUCUGUCGAGUUGUUGAUGGUUGUGCCUUCGGAUUCGUUCUUCUUCGGGUUCUCCGAUUUGUUGGAGAUUGUCUGUUUGGUUGGUUCUUCUUGAGGCUCAUGUUUUUUGGUUUCAGCUCCGACGUCAACCGUUUCUUUGGAAUUGUUUGCGGGUUAUGAUGGAUUCGAGUUACAGAUUUAGUUCUUAGGUUCCUUUUGGGCUUACCUUCUUGUACCUUUUUUAUUAUAUUUUGCUUCCCUCUUUUGGGCUUAGUAUUCCGGGGAUAUUUAUGUUUUCCGCCGGCUUUGUUUCCGAAAGAGUUUCGACUCUUGUCGGCCUUGUGUUCCAAAACCGUAUUCUACCUUGUAACUAUAUCUUGCAUAAUAUAAUGGAAUCAUUAAGACGAAAAAAAAA